UGAGGAAUAUUGGUCAAUGGGGGCAACCCUGAACCAGCCAUGCCGCGUGGAGGAAGACGGCCCUAUGGGUUGUAAACUCCUUUUGUACGGGAAUAAUAGCACCUACGUGUAGGUGUAUGAAGGUACUGUACGAAUAAGGAUCGGCUAACUCCGUGCCAGCAGCCGCGGUAAUACGGAGGAUCCAAGCGUUAUCCGGAUUUAUUAGGUUUAAAGGGUGCGCAGGCGGCCCUAUAAGUCAGUGGUGAAAGUUUGCGGCUUAACCGUAAAAUUGCCAUUGAUACUGUAGGGCUUGAAUAUGGUAGAGGUAGGCGGAAUGUGUAGUGUAGCGGUGAAAUGCUUAGAUAUUACACAGAACACCGAUUGCGAAGGCAGCUUACUAUGCCAUGAUUGACGCUGAGGCACGAAAGCGUGGGUAGCGAACAGG
rnacentral:rRNA from 1 species